rnacentral:lncRNA from 1 species
AUUAGUAAGACAGUAACUUAUUUUGACAUGUCCUGUUUAACCAGAAUUAGAACUGUAAUAGUAGAAGGUAUCAUGCUGAUAAAAUUGAGCAUUGAUCCAUGAUACAAUCCUUCAUCUUCAAGGAAAAACUGCACAAACAACCUGUGAAGAUGUCAGCUGUGUAUGAGAAGGAAUGUCCAUCAUAUGAGACUGAAAUGAUGGAAAUGGGAAUUCAAAUGUGGUUGACCAAGCUACUGGAUGAUCUAAAAAAAUGGCAUGUUUCUAUCAAGUUUAUGUUGUCUGUGUUUUGGGAUAACAAAGCAAUUAUAUUGAAAGAUUAUUUACAAAAAGGUUUGGCGAUAAUAGGAACAUACUACAG